rnacentral:tmRNA from 1 species
GGGGCCGACUGGUUUUGACAGCGGGUUGAAUGGUAAUGUAAGCAUGCCGAGCGCUGGGAUACAGCUCGUAAAUCUCAUAUUUCAACUUUUUUAAACGGCGAGAAUAACUACGCCCUAGCUGCAUAACCCGAAUUAUAGUACGGUAUGCCUCGGCCCGUAAGACGGGCAAGCAGGAAGUCACUCGAAGGCCUUGGUUUACGGCGUUCGGUUUAGUGGCUUCGUAAAAGUAAACCUAGGAAUCGCAGGGCUUUGAUGUGAUUCUGAACCUUAAGCGAAGCUAAGGGAUGCGUUGGUAGUUUUCGACCGGCAAGUCCACGAAAAUUUAAACGAAAACUAAGCAUGUAGAAAGCAUUAACAUUGCGCGUUUGGACGGGAGUUCGAAUCUCCCCGGCUCCACAA